rnacentral:rRNA from 1 species
UACGUAGGUGACUAGCGUUGUCCGGAUUUACUGGGCGUAACGAGCUCGCAGGCGGUCGUUCAAGUCGAGUGUGAAAGCCCCCGGCUCAACUGGGGAGGGUCACUUGAUACUGAUCGACUCGAAGGCAGGAGAGGGAAGCGGAAUUCCCGGUGUAGUGGUGAAAUGCGUAGAUAUCGGGAGGAACACCAGUGGCGAAGGCGGCUUCCUGGCCUGUUCUUGACGCUGAGGCGCGAAAGCUAGGGGAGCAAACGGG